rnacentral:rRNA from 1 species
CGGACGGGUGAGUAAUGUCUGGGAAACUGCCUGAUGGAGGGGGAUAACUACUGGAAACGGUAGCUAAUACCGCAUAACGUCGCAAGACCAAAGAGGGGGACCUUCGGGCCUCUUGCCAUCGGAUGUGCCCAGAUGGGAUUAGCUAGUAGGUGGGGUAACGGCCCACCUAGGCGACGAUCCCUAGCUGGUCUGAGAGAAUGACCAGCCACACUGGAACUGAGACACGGUCCAG